AAGUCGAACGAUUGUCCCGAGUGUAGCAAUACAAGCGGGACGGGAGUGGCGAAAGGGUGCGUAACGCGUGGGCAACCUGCCUUCCAGUUGGGGAUAACCUCGCGAAAGCGAGGCUAAUACCGAAUGUGACGGUGGUGCUUCGGCAUCAUUGGUCAAAGACGGGGAUUCUUCGGAACCUGUCGCUGGUUGAGGGGCCCGCGUCCUAUCAGCUUGUUGGCGAGGUAACGGCUCACCAAGGCUUACGGGUAGCUGGUCUGAGAGGAUGGUCAGCCACACUGGGACUGAGACACUGCCCAGACUCCUACGGGAGGCUGCAGUCGAGGAUCAUUCGCAAUGGGCGCAAGCCUGACGAUGCGACGCUGCGUGGAGGAUGAAGGCCUUCGGGUCGUAAACUCCUGUCGUUUGGGAACAAGGAACCGUCGCUAACACCGGCGGAACCCGCUAGUACCGAAAGAGGAAGCCACGGCUAACUCUGUGCCAGCAGCCGCGGUAAUACAGAGGUGGCGAGCGUUGUUCGGAUUUACUGGGCGUAAAGGGUGCGUAGGUGGUAUCGUGUGUCGGGCGUGAAAUCCCACUGCUCAACGGUGGAACGCCGUCCGAAACUACGGAACUAGAGUGCAGGAGAGGAGAGCGGAAUUCUUGGUGUAGCGGUGGAAUGCGUUGAUAUCAAGAGGAACACCAGUGGCGUAGGCGGCUCUCUGGAAUGUAACUGACACUGAGGCACGAAAGCGUGGGGAGCAAACAGGAUUAGAUACCCUGGUAGUCCACGCCCUAAACGGUGCACACUUGGUGUGGGGAGAAUUGACCCUUCCCGUGCCGCAGCUAACGCGAUAAGUGUGCCGCCUGGGGAGUACGGUCGCAAGAUUAAAACUCAAAGAAAUUGACGGGGGCCCGCACAAGCGGAGGAGCAUGUGGCU
rnacentral:rRNA from 1 species